UACGAAGGGUGCAAGCGUUGUUCGGAUUUAUUGGGCGUAAAGCGCGCGCAGGCGGAACAGCAAGUCAGGUGUGAAAUCUCGGAGCUCAACUCCGAACGUGCGCCUGAAACUACUAUUCUAGAAUGUCAAAUGGGGAUGGGGAAUUUCGCGUGUAGGGGUAAAAUCCGUAGAUAUGCGAAGGAACAUCUGUGGCGAAGGCGCCAUCCUGGGUGACUAUUGACGCUGAGGCGCGAAAGUGUGGGGAGCAAACAGG
rnacentral:rRNA from 1 species